rnacentral:rRNA from 1 species
UACGGAGGGUGCAAGCGUUGUUCGGAAUUAUUGGGCGUAAAGCGCGCGCAGGCGGCUUGAGAAGUCUAUGGGUGAAAGGCCGGGGCUCAACCCCGUGUGUGCCCAGGAUACUCUCAGGCUAGAGACACGUAGAGGCAAGCGGAAUUCCUGGUGUAGCGGUGAAAUGCGCAGAUAUCAGGAAGAACACCCGUGGCUAAGGCGGCUCUCUAGUACGGUACUGACGCUGAGACGCGAAAGCGUGGGGAGCGAACAGG